rnacentral:rRNA from 1 species
UCGAGAAUUUUUCUCAAUGGGCGAAAGCCUGAAGGAGCGACGCCGCGUGGGGGAUGAAUGGCUUCGGCCCGUAAACCCCUGUCAUUUGUGAACAAAUUAAUUCACCCAACACGUGGAUUAUUGAUAGUAACGGAAGAGGAAGGGACGGCUAACUCUGUGCCAGCAGCCGCGGUAAUACAGAGGUCCCAAGCGUUGUUCGGAUUCACUGGGCGUAAAGGGUGCGUAGGCGGUCGGGUAAGUCUGACGUGAAAUCUCCGGGCCUAACCCGGAAACUGCGUCGGAUACUAUCCGGCUAGAGGAUUGGAAGGGAGACUGGAAUACUUGGUGUAGCAGUGAAAUGCGUAGAUAUCAAGUGGAACACCAGUGGCGAAGGCGAGUCUCUGGACAAUUCCUGACGCUGAGGCACGAAAGCCAGGGGAGCAAACGGGAUUAGAUACCCCCGUAGUCC